rnacentral:ncRNA from 1 species
UAGAAGUAGAGGAGCGAUAAGCAUCAGUAUUCCGACUAUAUGGGGCAGCCGGCCCGUCUUUCGGAAAAAAGGGUAUUAUCGCCGAAGCGGCGUCUUGGCAAACCGUCGUUGGGCAGUAAGGUUAAAACCUGCUGACUGUCAUCUUUAGAUGAAGGGCUACUCGG